AUGAGGGUAUUCGAAGAAGACACCAUGAAUUGGUAUUCGAAAAAGAUACCACCUUUCAUUACAUUGCUAACCAGUGAGGAUAUAUAUAAAAAGGAUACCACCAAUAGCAUAGCACCCUGCUGCUGUAAUUACAUGUACCUGUUUCAUAUAAUUAUAGUUGCAACUAAUAAGGUCAUCGAUUUUAACGAGGUCCAUAAGAUAAUAAUGUCUCCAUUGAGAUGUGCAAUGAAAUAUCGAAGGACCCUAUCCUUUUGUUUGUGGAUGCAUGAAGUAAUGAUGUCUGGCUAUGGGAGUGUCUCUUCGGAUGUUCUAAGGCAGUUUCCUGUGUCUCUGCUAGCUCCGAUUCUAUUGCGCCCUAUUGUCCGACAUAUGUUUAUUUAUGUGUUUGACCCACGUGUUUAG
rnacentral:rRNA from 1 species